UGCAUAUCAAUAAGCGGAGGAAAAGAAACUAACAAGGAUUCCCCUAGUAACUGCGAGUGAAGCGGGAAGAGCUCAAAUUUGAAAUCUGGCGGUUCUGCCGUCCGAGUUGUAAUCUGGAGAAGCGUUUUCCGUGCCGGACCGUGUACAAGUCUCUUGGAACAGAGCGUCAUAGAGGGUGAGAAUCCCGUCUUUGACACGGACUCCCGGUGCUCUGCGAUGCGCUCUCGAAGAGUCGAGUUGUUUGGGAAUGCAGCUCAAAAUGGGUGGUAAAUUCCAUCUAAAGCUAAAUAUUGGCGAGAGACCGAUAGCGAACAAGUACCGUGAGGGAAAGAUGAAAAGCACUUUGGAAAGAGAGUAAAACAGUACGUGAAAUUGUUGAAAGGGAAACGCUUGGAGUCAGUCGCGUCUUCUGGAACUCAGCCGUGCUUCUGCUCGGUGCACUUUCCAGUUCGACGGGUCAGCAUCGGCUCUGGGGGGCGGACAAAGGCGCGGGGAAGGUGGCAGCUCCGGCUGUGUUAUAGCCCCGCGCUACACGUCCUCCGGGACCGAGGAAUCCGGCGCUCGCGCCUGGGAUGCUGGCGUAAUGGCUUUAAACGACCCGUCUUGA
rnacentral:rRNA from 1 species